ensembl:lncRNA
GUUUAGGUUUCAUUUGCUUUGCUUUGCUUAGGGCAAAGGAAAGCUGUGCGUGUCUACAGGUCACCAGGAAGGGGGAGCUGUGGAAGGCGUUGAGGGGUGGCUGGGCAGGAAGGGAAUCUCAGAAGGAGGGACAGACCCUGAAGGUCAUAAGAAGUCACCUCACCUGUCAUAACCCUGGGGCUCAACCUGAGGGGGAUGAUGGGUGUGGAGCCCCUUCCCAGGGCCCUGCCUCUAGCCCUCACUUCCCCACUGGGCUGAGCCUUCUUGCCCUUUGAGGCAUGGAAACUUGUCUGAAAUCAUCCCACGUUCUCCCCACACUGCUGUUUCUAGAAUGAGUCUCAUGUGCUAGGUCCCUUGGGCCAAAAGCCGCUUAGCAAUCAUAACAACUGUUUUCUUUAAAAAAAAAAAAAAAGAAAAAUAAACAGCUGUUGCCUGACUUUUAAGAUGGAUGUUUCUGCUUUGGGUCUGACAAGUCUAAUGAACAGACAGUUCUUAAAAAGGAAAUACGAAUGUCCCUCUCCCGCAUAGAAGACAGAUGCUCAGCCUCACUCAUCAGCAGAUGCAGUUCACACAACACCAGACACUGCGUUCGUCCUCAGAGUGGCCAGAACCCGUGGGUGUGGCAACGUGGUGGGAACCCAGAAAGCAUGGCCCCAGGAGGGGAGCUGAGUCACAGAUUGCCUGUGCACAAAGGAGUGUUCAUGUGGCUAGGCUGUCACGGCAACACUGCUGUGACAUCAAGCAACUGACAGCCACGUGUCCACUGAUCGGGGCCACGUGAGCAGGCGGUGGCGCUUCCACUCCAUGGAGUCCAAGCAGCUGCAAACAAAUACAGAAGUGAGGACGGAUUUGCCAAGUUCACUGUGUAGAUUACUAAAUGAAGAAAGCAAGACCGGCUCUGCAUUUGAUGUCAGCCCUUGCAGGGGUCACGACGUGGUCUGUGCGACUGCAGAGGUGCCAGCUGUAAAGUCUCACCCUUGGCCACUUCUCUCUUCUCUGAUGACAGCCAUCUGGCACUGCGCACUUACAAAGGGAAGGACGGGGCUGACCCACAAGGCUCCUGAGUUGCUGAAAUCAUGGUGAAUCCAUCCUCUACCCUGAACUCAGCCCUUUCAUCUGUCUCUUGGAUAUGCAUCAUGGCCCUAAUCAAUGUAAAUCAGUCUGGGCAUGACUUUUUGGCUGCUCAUUGGAAUCAUGAUUGAUUAUAUUUUUUCAAUAACUCAUCAAAAGACCUUAGGUUUUAAUCAAAGGCUUCAGAAUCUUCUAUGGGGCCAAGUUAAAUCAUUGCCAGCCUGGAGGGAAGUCUCCAGUGGCAUACCAUAGGGCUCUGUCAUGUCAAAUAUUUCUAUAAUUUAGAUAAAGACAUCAAUGCAUAAAUAUCGCAUCUACUGAUUACCCAAAGCUGAGCAGAACAGGUAGAUACAACAGGUGGCAGAAUUGAGGUCAUGGUCACCUCAAGGGGAGGGAUUAGUGCACCAACAUCAGUGAGCUCUGGCUCAAGCCAAGUAACUGUAAAACCUCAUGUAUAGAAACCAGAAAUCGAUUGCACUUGGCCAAAGAUCAUUUUCAAGGUGACAGGUUCUUCCAGAAGUAUGGCGUGGCUGUGACAAAAAUGAAUACACAGUUGCCUACAUGGAUGGACACACGGGACCCCACAGCACCAGCCCAGACAGAGUCCAGAUGAGGUGGCUGGCACAUCUUGGGAGCAUGUGGGAGCCACCAAAGGACACAGAGCCAUGAAUCCUGGAGAAGGCUUGGGAGGACGUAGCACGCUCUUGGGACUCAGGGGCUAGAAUUGCUUCUGGGCCCUCCCAGGAGAUGUGGGCAGAAGCAUCCCCUGCAAGGGAGGAAGGGCUCUCUUCAAUUACAGACUUGGUCACUACCAGACUUGGGAAUUACCCAUCAGUAAAAACAUUCACAUUGCAUCAACCAAAUAAAUUGCAAAAGAGCUGCGUUUUAGGCUUUAUAUUUCCAAAACCCUAGAACUUUUUGUUCAAAUUAAAUCAUAUCUAGAAGCCAGGUAAGGUUUAUAAGCCAGAUAAGAGUGGAGUUAUUCUUCUUGAAACAGCAGUGGGGGCCUAGAAGCCCAGUGCGUGGGUGCCCCCACCUGUGACUUCCCUAAGGCCUCAUGGGGAGCACAGCCUGAAAGCCACUGUGACAGAAGGGCCCUGAUCCCGGUGUGGGCUUGCUCCUUAUUUCUCUCAGGUGAACUCAAUGUGUCUAUAAUCUAAAGCUGCUGUGCAUGAUGGGACACAUCAGAUGACACCCAAAGGCCUUGGGAGAGAGAGCCGACCUGGGAGGAGACCAGGAUAGCACAAAGGAGCUCUUACCAAGCCCUGGGGAGAGCCCACGAUGCUCUAAUAAGCUCCUGACGGAUCUUGUAAGGAAGUUUAGACUUAAAUAUAUGAUGCAGAAUUGCUGUCAUUCCGCCCCGUGACGCCCCCUCUACCCUGUGGGCAGUGGACACCUCACACAGG